CAGUCGCCACGGUAAUACGUAGGGCGCAAGCGUUGUCCGGAAUUAUUGGGCGUAAAGAGCUCGUAGGCGGCCUGUUACGUCUGCUGUGAAAUCCCGGGGCUUAACCCCGGGCGUGCAGUGGAUACGGGCGGGCUAGAGGCAGGCAGGGGAGAACGGAAUUCCCGGUGUAGCGGUGAAAUGCGUAGAUAUCAGGAGGAACACCGGUGGUGUAAACGGCUUUCUGGACCAUAACUGACGCUGAGGCACGAAAGCGUGGGUAGCAAACAGGAUUAGAUACCCCAGUAGUCCCUGUCUCUUAUAC
rnacentral:rRNA from 1 species